rnacentral:rRNA from 1 species
UACGUAGGGUGCGAGCGUUAAUCGGAAUUACUGGGCGUAAAGCGUGCGCAGGCGGUUCGCCAAGUCAGGUGUGAAAUCCCCGGGCUUAACCUGGGAAUUGCGCUUGAAACUAGCGGGCUUGAGUGCGGCAGAGGGGGGGUGGAAUUCCACGUGUAGCAGUGAAAUGCGUAGAUAUGCGGAGGAACACCGAUGGCGAAGGCAAUCCCCUGGGCCUGCACUGACGCUCAUGCACGAAAGCGUGGGGAGCAAACAGG